UCCCUGGUGGCUCAGAUGGUAAAGAAUCUGCCUGCAAUGCAAGAGACCUGGGUUUGAUCCCUGGGUUGGGAA
rnacentral:tRNA from 1 species